GUUCCACGUGUUCCGUGUCGGAGCUAACGCGUUAAGCNUCCCGCCUGGGGAGUACGGCCGCAAGGCUAAAACUCAAAGAAAUUGACGGGGGCCCGCACAAGCGGCGGAGCAUGCGGAUUAAUUCGAUGCAACGCGAAGAACCUUACCUGGGCUUGACAUGUUCCCGACGACGCCAGAGAUGGCGUUUCCUUCGGGGCGGGUUCACAGGUGGUGCAUGGUCGUCGUCAGCUCGUGUCGUGAGAUGUUGGGUUAAGUCCCGCAACGAGCGCAACCCUCGCCCCGUGUUGCCAGCACGUUAUGGUGGGAACUCACGGGAGACCGCCGGGGUUAACUCGGAGGAAGGUGGGGAUGACGUCAGAUCAUCAUGCCCCUUACGUCCAGGGCUUCACGCAUGCUACAAUGGCCGGUACAGCGGGAUGCGACAUGGCGACAUGGAGCGGAUCCCUGAAAACCGGUCUCAGUUCGGAUCGGAGCCUGCAACCCGGCUCCGUGAAGGCGGAGUCGCUAGUAAUCGCGGAUCAGCAACGCCGCGGUGAAUGCGUUCCCGGGCCUUGUACACACCGCCCGUCAAGUNAUGAAAGUGGGCAGCACCCGAAGCCGGUGGCCUAACCCCUUGUGGGAUGGAGCCGUCUNAGGUGAGGC
rnacentral:rRNA from 1 species